UACGGAGGGUGCAAGCGUUAAUCGGAAUCACUGGGCGUCAAAGGCACGUAGGCGGCUUGAUAAGUCAGGUGUGAAAUCCCUGGGCUCAACCUGGGAAUGGCAUUUGAUACUGUUGAGCUAGAGUCUGGUAGAGGGAGGGGGAAUUCCAGGUGUAGCGGUGAAAUGCGUAGAGAUCUGGAGGAACACCGGUGGCGAAGGCGGCCUCCUGGGCCAAGACUGACGCUGAGGUGCGAAAGCGUGGGGAGCAAACAGG
rnacentral:rRNA from 1 species